UGGGCGCAAGCCUGACGACGCAACGCCGCGUGGAGGAUGAAGAUUUUUCGGAUCGUAAACUCCUGUCGAAUGGGACGAAUGGCCUGGCCGUGAACAACGGCCGGGAAUGACGGUACCGUGAGAGGAAGCCCCGGCUAACUCCGUGCCAGCAGCCGCGGUAAUACGGGGGGGGCAAGCGUUGUUCGGAAUUACUGGGCGUAAAGGGCUCGUAGGUGGCCACCUAAGUCCGACGUGAAAUCCCUCGGCUCAACCGGGGAACUGCGUCGGAUACUGGGUGGCUUGAAUCCGGGAGAGGGACGUGGAAUUCCAGGUGUAGCGGUGAAAUGCGUAGAUAUCUGGAGGAACACCGGUGGCGAAGGCGGCGUCCUGGACCGGUAUUGACACUGAGGAGCGAAAGCCAGGGGAGCAAACGGGAUUAGAUACCCCGGUAGUCCUGGCCCUAAACGAUGAGUGCUUGGUGUGGCGGGUAUCGAUCCCCGCUGUGCCGGAGCUAACGCGUUAAGCACUCCGCCUGGGGAGUACGGUCGCAAGGCUG
rnacentral:rRNA from 1 species